CUCUAACCCAACGUCUCUCUCUCUCUAAUCGGUUCUCUCUCUCUCUCUCUUUCUAACUCACGCCUCUUCUCCCUCCACAGAUCCGCCGCCGCCGCCGCCUGCUCCAACCUCGGCGAGAAUCGCCGGCUCCGACGCCUCCCUCACCCAACGCCUUCCCUCUCUCACCAUACCCUCUCGCUCACCACCUCCCAUCUGCCCCUCUCUCUCUCUCUUGCGUACCCGACAGCAGACGGCCAAGGAAGGAGCGCCGCCAUCACUGCUGCUGCUGCUCCGUUCUCGGCCGCGUUAGUGGCGCCUGGCCUCCGGCCGCGCCACCUCGUUCAGCCGCCCCGGACUUCGCCGCCUUGCUCCGACUCUGUCUGCCUUGGCCGCGAGUGGCCGGCGGGCUGCUGCCAUGCAUGCAGCGCCGGCAGCCGCGGCCUUGACAGCCCGCGCCGAGCUCGGAUAGCCCCCCCUUUCUCCCUCUCAACGAUUCCUCGACUAUCACUCACCGGAGGAACAAAAGGAAUUUCAAAAUGUAAAGAUUUGAUUUUUGGUGUUUUGUAUUUCUGAAAUCUUUGAAGUUAUAAGAAAAGAAAGUUUAUGCCACUGCUGAGUUCUGAUUUGGGCGUCAAAAAUGGUUUCUUGAACAGUCCUUGCUGGGUUUAGUCGAUUGAGUCCUAAAGUUUGUGUUCUAGUCAUUGAGUUUUCUGUUAUGAUGUGGGUUUAGUAGUCUAUGAUCUUUCUUCUUUCUUCUUUUUCUUUUUUUUUUACAAAAUGGAAGAAAAUAUAGAAGGGAAUUUAUAAAUGUAUGGGAGUUGACCUUUCUUCUUGAGUGUUGCUGUCUUUUGUUUGAGAUUUUCUGUAACAAAAGGAAAAGAUCGCUUGGUUGUUCAUAUGAAAAAGACAAAAGAGAGAGUGAAUGAAGUUACUGAAUUUAGUUGGAGUCUUGAGCUUUUGUAAGCAGCAAUGAAGUAUUGACAGAUGUUGUUAGUAUUGAUUUCAUCCGGUCAUAAAAUUUCUGCAAUUGAAUGAAAGCAAAUUGAAUGGGAGAGAAGAAAUUACCUUCAGAAAUUGGAGUGUGCGGAUUAAAAAUGUUUGUGGGUCUGAAUCUUAAAGAAACAAGAAGAUGAAAAGCUUUUGGAUAGAAUUCUUGGGGAAAAAGGAAAAUGUUUCAAUUCUCGCUCGACUCGGCUUCUCACACUGAAAUCUUAAUUUUGGGCCAGUACUUAUCUCAAAAUUCUUGAGCUGAAAGCCCAUAAAAAAUAUUCUCUUAAAUAGAGAUUAUUGGACUUGAGGUCCAUCAAAAC
rnacentral:lncRNA from 1 species